rnacentral:lncRNA from 13 species
UUCAGUUCUGUGUGGUUAGUUGGCAGCAUCUAAAGAGUCAGAUAAAAGGUGAGUUGCUUAGUUCCUCACCAUGUGGCCGUAAGAAUGGCCCUGAGAGACUCGGUGGUGCUUCUAGCCUGUUCACUAUGCACUAUGGAGUUGGUGUAUAGCUGUAUCUUUCUUCACUGUUCCCUGUAGGAGCCUCCUGGACGACCCUCACUUCCACCACUCUCUGGUGAACGGUGUGGCUGAACCCGUGCCCUACUUCACCCAGCUGAGACAGACUGCCUACACCCCUACCACACCUCUCCCUGGGGCUGCUACGCCUUAUCCUGGGACCAGGGAGGCCCCUCCACCUUGCCCCCCUACUCCUCAGCUCCUCAUGGGGGGCAGUCUGUACAGUGCUGGGGUAACAGAGGUAACAAAGCAACAGCCACAGACCCAGAAGCCAACAGUGAAGCGAGAGCGUCAGCUCAACGUUCAGGAGACCAUCCGCAGGUUGCCAGAGUUCUGUGACGUGACAGAGGAGGUUCUCCUCAACACCUUACAGAACCUGAUGAUGGAGGCCUUCCUGGGAGAGCUGGUCCUUACAGCCAGGCCACGAAUCAUCGCUCUGCCUCCUGUCUCUGCCAGGAGGAACAGCUGUGGUUCCAGGAGGCUGUCCAGAGGUGGAGCUGACCCAGACAGGAGCAGAGAGACCAGGGGGGGUUCCUCUGGGUCUUAG